rnacentral:rRNA from 1 species
UACGUAGGGAGCAAGCGUUGUUCGGAUUUACUGGGCGUAAAGGGCGCGUAGGCGGCAAUUCAAGUCAGCUGUGAAAUCUCCGGGCUUAACUCGGAACGGUCAGCUGAUACUGCUUUGCUAGAGUGCGGAAGGGGCAAUCGGAAUUCUCGGAUGUAGCGGUGAAAUGCGUAGAGUAUCGAGAGGAACACCUGGAGGUGAAGACGGGUUGCUGGGCCGACACUGACGCUGACAGCGCGAAAGCCAGGGGAGCAAACGGG